UGACAUUUCAGGAGAAAAAAGUGAGUAAUGUGGAUGACCUGGUGGAAGCAGCUUAAACGGAACGGGAUCGAUCUCGGCAGCGUCAUGUCCGAAGUGAUCGUUAACUGGUUUCACCAGCAACGUGGAGCAUGGCAACGCUCUGUACUGCACCGCUUACAAAGCGACCUAAACUACAAACACGAAGUUAGAGAACGAAAGGACGUCAGGAAUGGAAUUCUCCCAAACUGUCCUCAAUCGGCGAUGUUUCGAAAUCCAUGGUUGUCGGAGAUGCAACUUUCGUGGGCCCUCGCACUGGUGGCAAUGAAGGCAUUCCUGAUUGCGGUCCAUCGUGCAGCAGUGCAACCCGUCACACCGGUCCGGUCUUCCAAAAUGCAUCAUAUAUAUUAAACAGAUCCCGUGAUUCCGUGAUCCGUGAUCCCGACAUCAUUCGACAGGCUAGAGGAAUUUCAAAAUUGGUGGACGGAAAUACCGACAAAAGGACAAUAAUUGAAAAAUUGAUUAAUAGUAAAUGACUUCAUCGCCAACAUCGUGACAUCCUCAUUGGCAUGCUUAGAUCUCGGAUCAUAAGUUAGAUCGCACUUUUAAAAACCAGCCAUAUGCUAUGACUACCUCAGAUAGGACGAUUUAGUUGAUGAAGAAGUACAAACCGUGAAGAUGGCAUUAGUAUCAUUAGUUUUUUUAUUUGGAAAAACAUGCCAACACCUUUUUUCUGAACUACAGCAUAUUUUUUUAUGCAAAAAUCAGAUGAUAAAAAACAAUUUAUAUAAUUUUUGAAAACGUGACUCUUUGGCAGUUGGCAUUCUGGUUGACAGCUCGGCCUGUAGUAAAAUCAAGUUAGGGGAGUUAAAUUCACAAAAUUAUUAAGAGUUCCCGUGCACCAUUCAUAAAAUUUUGAAUUCAGUUUCAGUUUACAUUCAUAACAGAUUCCAGAUGUAUAUAUAUAAUCUAUAAAUAAUAA